rfam:Myotis lucifugus cont2.7859, whole genome shotgun sequence.
GGUGGUUCUCAGGUGAUACAUCCUCGAAUCGGGCUCCCGCCUCUCUGGUUUUGGGGUGCAUCACCUGAGAACAGCU